UGCAUAGGCAAAGGUGUGCAGUUGGAAUGUAAAGGUGAAGGUGAUGUCUGGGUCAGGUGCCUCAGUGACCAUGCAGUCUCUGUACAGAGUACCUACUUGGACAGAAAAACUGGGCAUAUGCGUGGAAUAGGUGUUCAUAAGAUCUGCCCAAAAAUGUAUGUAAAGGUUUGUCAGCUGCUGCUGGGAUCGGGGUGGAUGACCUUCGUCGCUUAUGCAUCCUCAGGAUGAGCUUUGUGAAAGGCUGGGGAUCAGAUCACCCAAUUCUGAGCAUCGAGGAGACACCUUGCUGGAUUGAGACUCACUUACACCGGGCCUUACAGCACCUGGAUGAAAUACUUCAGGCCAUGCCUGCCCUCCGCUUAGAAUGUUUACACUGAAACUUUUACUGUUGGAGCCCUUAACAUUCAUUGUCAGGAUGGUGGACUGUAACAUACAAUCCUGUUUAUAAUCUGAAGAUAUAUAUCACUUUCGUUCUGCUUUAUCUUUUCAUAAAGGGUUGAACACA